UAAAGAAAUGAAAAGAGUCUUAAUUCCUAAAAAUUAAAUAAAACCUAUCAACUAAACCACAAAACCUUUCUCUUCCUAAACACAUUUCUUUUUUUCUACAUUUGUAAACACAUUGGAGUCUACUGGUGUAUUGCCAUCGUUGUGUUUUCCUUUGAAACACCAUACUAGACCACUCCAAAACUAAGUUUGUUGGAGAAAUAAGCCAUCCCCGAACUCAGAAAGACGAAAAUAAACCUUUAUUGUUCUAAGAUCCUUUUUUGAUCUUUGAUGACAUUAGGUUCUACUUUCGAAGGUACCUCUUCCAUUCAGUAGAUCGUGCCAGAGAGACUGUGCCCUCGUGUUGUGAGAGUGUGCGCUGCUUCAUUUGCCUUCCGAGGGAUAUAUUGAAAUAUAAGUUAAGAAAUCUAGGUCUUUUCUUUUUUAUUUCAUCAACUAUGUUACCAAUCACCGAUGUAUCCUCUGAAACAGACUUGAUUUUUUAAUAAUAGUUAAGGUAUCACCUUUCACAACAAGGUCUCGAAACCCCAUUCCUUCCCCAAAUAUGAUAGUCUAAAGACAUGCCUUUGUACCGCGGUGGUCGGGUUCCACUUCUUCCUAGAGGAGAUAGGUAGCCAAGCAUCAUUCCAGAUGUUUGUUGCCUCGUCGUUUCUUAUCCUCUAGCUCGUUCCCUUUUUUAGUGAACUACGCGCAUUCCAAAGGCUGUGCCAGAUAAAAGAGGGAUAUCAUUUUGUGGAACGAUUGAUCUGAUCAACCUUUGAGUCACGCUAUCCAGUUGAUUUUGGUAGUUAUUGGAUGUUUAUUUUGGCUUAUAUGACAUGUAACAGGGUGAGAAAUGUUUUGAGGUAUGGUGUGGUUACUUGUAAGAUUAAGAUGUGAAUGACAUGGUAAUGUUAUGUGUUCACUUGUAUUGUGGUUAAUUUUUAAUCUUUUUGCAUUGUUAAUGUUUGGAGAAAAA